UUUGCUUAUUUUCUUUGUCUGCAAACUGAGUAUAGAUAUUCAAGUGUUCUAUAGAUCAUAGGUUAUUCUUUCAUUCCAAUUCCAAUUCCAACACAGCACACAAUUUGUUCAGUGUGCCAAGCGACAAGACAACAAUGUCGUUUUUAAGGUAUGUUGCUUCUGUUUCCUUUCCCAAUUCUAGAUCAUACUCUCACUGUCUCCAACAUUUCAAUGAUGAUGCUGUUGAUGCUGUUUCCUUGUUCAAUCGAUUGCUCCAAACGAAACCCACCCCACCCGCCAUUGAAUUUGGCAAGAUUUUAGGUUCUCUUGUCAAAGCCAAACAUUAUUCCACUGUUGUUUCCCUUUCUCAAAAGAUGGAAUUGAGUAGAGUUACUCCUGAUUUUGUAACUCACAACAUCAUCAUCAAUUCUCUCUCUCAAUUAGGUCAUAUUACUUUUGCUUUUUCUGUUUUGGGGAAGAUUCUCAAGAGGGGUUAUCUCCCAGAUGCUAUAACCUUGACUGCAUUCAUCAAGGGUUUCUGUCUCAAAGGUGAACUUCAUAAAGCAUUGCAAUUUCAUGACAAGGUGGUAGCUCGCGGAUUUCAUUUCAACCAAGUUAGCUAUGGGACAUUGAUCAAUGGUUUAUGUAAACUUGGAGAAACAACUGCAGCACUACAGUUGCUCAGACGAGUUGAUGGAAAGUUGGUUCAACCUGAUGUGGUAAUGUACACUACGAUUAUUGACAGCAUGUGCAAAGAUAAACUUGUUAACAAUGCAUGUGAUUUAUAUUCUGAAAUGGUUGUUAAGAGAAUUUCUCCUAAUGUUUUCACUUACAAUGCUUUAAUUAAUGGCUUUUGCAUUGUUGGUAGAUUGGAAGAAGCAAUUUAUUUGUUUAAUAAAAUGACAUUGGAAAAAAUCUACCCGGAUGUGUAUACUUUUAGUAUAUUGGUUGAUGCUUUUUGUAAGGAAGGAAAGGUGAAAGAAGCACAAAAUGUGUUAGCUAUGAUGAUUAAAAAAGACAUUAAACUUAAUGUUGUUACGUAUAACUCUUUAAUGAAUGGAUAUUGUCAUGCAAAUGAAGUGAGCAAGGCCAAUGAUAUAUUCAACAUUAUGUCCAAAAGGGGAGUGAUUGCUGAUGUUUGGAGCUACAGUACCAUGAUAGUUGGAUUUUGUAAGGUUAAAAUGGUGGAUGAAGCUAUUAAUCUCUUCAAAGAAAUGCAUUGCAGAAAAAUCAUUCCCAAUACGGUAACUUACAGUUCCCUUAUUGAUGGUUUGUGCAAAUCGAGGAAAAUCUCACAUGCUUUAGAGCUUGUCGAAGAGAUGCAUGAUAGAGGUCAACCCCCGGAUAUAAUUACUUACACCUCUAUAUUGGAUGCUUUAUGCAAAAGUCACCAUGUUGACAAGGCAAUUGCUUUAUUUAAAGAAUUUAAAGACAAAGGUAUUAAACCAAGUGUGUGCACAUACACUAUUCUUAUCGAUGGAUUGUGUAAAGGUGGAAGACUAAAGGACGCGCAAAAGGUUUUUGAAGAACUUUUGGUCAAGGGUUACAAUCUUGAUGUCUAUAUAUAUACUGUUAUGAUCCAUGGAUUUUGUAACAAUGGCUUGUUUGAUGAAGCGUUGACUAUGCUGUCAAAAAUGAUAGACAAUGGUUGCAUUCCGGAUGCUCGUACUUAUGAAAUCAUUAUUCUUUCCCUAUUUGAAAAUGAUGAAAAUGAUAAAGCUGAGAAACUUCUUCUUGAAAUGAUUAUGUGAGGUCUACUAUGAGACUAGUAAUAGAGCGAACCAAAUCAGCACAAGCUGAUAAACAUUUUCUAGGAUUGCUCUAAUUGGUUGAGGAAGUGCAUCAAAACUUGUUACUUACUGUGAUGAUAUACAUUGCCGGUUGAGCUAUCACCUCAUGUUUGAUGGAUACUGGUGUUGUGCUGCGUGUUUGAACCUCUACUUGACCAAUCAAGGACACUUUGAGCAUUGUUUUGUUCCGAUGACUUUAGUAGGCAAUAACAAUUGAAAAAAGUGUUUGGUUUCUGGAAGUUUAAGGAGUGUCUUACAGGUUUUUUUACAAAAAUAAUCCACUUUUUCAAGGAAACUCCCAAAAUAUUCUUGGUUUCAAAAAAAAAUUCAAAAAUACCCCACUUUUAGGAGGAGUCGCCAAUUGAAUUAGAGACUCCUCUUAAAACUUGAAUGGAGGCGCCAAUCCAAUUGGCGCCCCUGUGUAGGUUUUAAGAGGAGUCGCCAAUUCAAUUGGAGACUCCUCCUAAAAUGCAUUUUUUGACUUAUAAAUAGAUGCUUUGUGUGACCAAUUGUUCCACAUGUCAUAUAAUCAUUUGACAAUCAUGUUUGGUGUUCGUCGCCGAUACGAAAAGGUGAUUUAUGCGAGAGACAAACCUCAAAUGCUAAUGCUGUUUUGGAACAUCACCAUGUUCGAUCAACUGAAGAGGGAGCUGGUUCGUUGGUUAGAUGGGAAAAUACCAGAAAGGGAAAAAUCAGAAGUAUUGAGAGACUUGACAAUAUCUUUGGUUGGGUGCGAAUGAAGACUGAUAAGGAUGCUAGGGAAAUGAUGUUCGGUCGAGACGACAUCAAUUUGAUUGUUGUAAUCAGUUAGAAAUAUAUAUGUUUUCAGAUGUUUUGUACUGAUCUUUGUUGUGAACCUCGUUGUAACAA